AACGCGAAGAACCUUACCCAGGCUUGACAUGCACUAGACGACGCCAGAGAUGGCGUUUCCCUUCGGGGCUGGUGCACAGGUGCUGCAUGGCUGUCGUCAGCUCGUGCCGUGAGGUGUUUGGUUAAGUCCAGCAACGAGCGCAACCCUUAUCAUUAGUUGCCAACAUUUAAGGUGGGAACUCUAAUGAGACUGCCUGGGUUAACCAGGAGGAAGGUGAGGAUGACGUCAAGUCCGCAUGGCCCUUAUGUCUGGGGCUACACACGUGCUACAAUGGUCGGUACAGAAGGCAGCAAAACCGCGAGGUGAAGCAAAUCCCUAAAGCCGGCCCCAGUUCAGAUUGUAGUCUGCAACUCGACUACAUGAAGACGGAAUUGCUAGUAAUGGCGAGUCAGCAACAUCGCCGUGAAUACGUUCCCGGGCCUUGUA
rnacentral:rRNA from 1 species